CGGCUCCAGGCUCCCUUCUCUGCCCUCCGAGGCAGCGAGCCGGGGGCUUCUGGGUCCCUGUGGAAGGGGCCGUGCCUCUAGCGGCGGCUAGGGGGCGCAGGAGGACCCGAGCGCAAAUCCGACCUCAGACACUUCCCGGCUGUGUGACCCUGGGCAAGUCACUUACCCCAACUGCCUCGGGGGAAAAGUGACGUCCCGGAAGUGCGAGACGCGAGACGCGUGAGCCUUUCGAAGGAAACGCGGAUCAAUUAUCAGAAGAAAGACCAACCAACCGAGAGCCCCCGCAAGCGACGCCCGCAGAUCUGGCGGAGGACCUCCCCCUUCCCCGCUCUUGCUGAAUUCUGGAGAAAGUCAAGCCCACGGGACCCUUCCGGCCGCACUAGGCGCCGGGUUCAGCACAACGUCACGACAAGCGAAGACUCACAACAGCGACAGACGGAGCGGCGACAAGAUGUCCAAAUGGCCGCUGACACAAGGCAGACCCAUCAGCCCCGACCCGGAACUCUCCCCUGCGUCAGGCGGGCAACGAACGGCCAGAGAAAAGCGGCAGUCAUUUUGGCGGGGCUGUCUCAGAUGAAAACGGA